GAUGAACGCUGGCGGCGUGCCUAAUACAUGCAAGUCGAACGAAACUUCUUUAUCACCGAGUGCUUGCACUCACCGAUAAAGAGUUGAGUGGCGAACGUGUGAGUAACACGUGGGCAACCUGCCCAAAAGAGGGGGAUAACACUUGGAAACAGGUGCUAAUACCGCAUAACCAUAGUUACCGCAUGGUAACUAUGUAAAAGGUGGCUAUACUACCGCUUUUGGAUGGGCCCGCGGCGCAUUAGCUAGUUGGUAGGGUAAAGGCUUACCAAGGCAAUGAUGCGUAGCCGAAUUGAGAGGUUGAUCGGCCACAUUGGGACUGAGACACGGCCCAAACUCCUACGGGAGGCAGCAGUAGGGAAUCUUCCACAAUGGGCGAAAGCCUGAUGGAGCAACGCCGCGUGGGUGAAGAAGGUCUUCGGAUCGUAAAACCCUGUUGUUAGAGAAGAAAGUGCGUGAGAGUAACUGUUCACGUUUCGACGGUAUCUAACCAGAAAGCCACUGCUAACUACGUG
rnacentral:rRNA from 1 species